rnacentral:rRNA from 1 species
UACCAGCUCUCCGAGUGGUAGGGAUGAUUAUUGGGCUUAAAGCGUCCGUAGCCGGCUUAGCAAGUCUCCUGUUAAAUUCAGCGACCUAAUCGUUGAGCCGCGGGAGAUACUACUAGGCUAGGAGGCGGGAGAGGUCAACGGUACUUCCGGGGUAGGGGUGAAAUCCUAUAAUCCCGGGAGGACCACCAGUGGCGAAGGCUGUUGACUAGAACGCGCUCGACGGUGAGGGACGAAAGCUGGGGGAGCGAACCGGAUUAGAUACCCGGGUAGUCCCGGCUGUAAACGAUGCGAGCUAGGUGUUGGGGUGGCUACGUGCCACUUCAGUGCCGCAGGGAAGCCAUUAAGCUCGCCGCCUGGGGAGUACGGCCGCAAGGCUGAAACUUAAAGGAAUUGGCGGGGGAGCGACCACAAGGCGUGAAGCUUGCGGUUC